UACGGAGGGUGUAAGCAUUACUCGGAUUUAUUGGGCGUAAAGGGCGCGUAGGCUGAAUGGUAAGUCAGAUGUGAAAUUCCGAAGCUCAACUUCGGAGCUGCAUUUGAAACUGCCAAUCUAGAGGGUAGGCGGAGAAAACGGAAUUCCACGUGUAGCGGUGAAAUGCGUAGAUAUGUGGAAGAACACCUGUGGCGAAAGCGGUUUUCCAGCUUACAACUGACGCUGAGGCGCGAAAGCAAGGGGAGCAAUCACG
rnacentral:rRNA from 1 species